GGUGCAGCAGGCGCGAAACCUUUACACUGCACGCAAGUGCGAUAAGGGGACCCCAAGUGCGAGGGCAUAUAGUCCUCGCUUUUCUCGACUGUAAGGCGGUCGUGGAAUAAGAGCUGGGCAAGACCGGUGCCAGCCGCCGCGGUAAUACCGGCAGCUCAAGUGAUGACCGAUAUUAUUGGGCCUAAAGCGUCCGUAGCCGGCCAUGAAGGUUCAUCGGGAAAUCCGCCAGCUCAACUGGCGGGCGUCCGGUGAAAACCACAUGGCUUGGGACCGGAAGGCUCGAGGGGUACGUCCGGGGUAGGAGUGAAAUCCCGUAAUCCUGGACGGACCACCGAUGGCGAAAGCACCUCGAGAAGACGGAUCCGACGGUGAGGGACGAAAGCUAGGGUCUCGAACCGGAUUAGAUACCCGGGUAGUCCUAGCUGUAAACGAUGCUCGCUAGGUGUGACACAGGCUACGAGCCUGUGUUGUGCCGUAGGGAAGCCGAGAAGCGAGCCGCC
rnacentral:rRNA from 1 species